rnacentral:lncRNA from 1 species
CUGGGAUAGUCGUAGGGGGAUAUUGGCAAAAUAGUUCUGGGGAACGUUCAAGUAGUUAAACAAUAUGGAAAAUCAUGUCAGUGUUUGACUCAAUGCCUUAACCCCACUUACUGGUUUUGCUUCCCUCAGAGCUGUGCAAGGCAGAAUUUUGAUGAAAGGGAUUUGGCUUAAGCAAGGAGAUGCAAUGUUGUACCAGAUGGAGAUGCUGAAGAUCUCCCUGAGACCUCCAGAUGGAGAGUGGUCAAAAACCUAUGCGGAAGGACAUCAUUCUUUUUGGACACCACUUUAAUCACAAUUUCUAUGGGUGAAAAUAACAGCAUAUGGCACAAGAGAAUAAAGCACACAGCUGUUGAGGGAAAAAAUAUUCU